rnacentral:lncRNA from 1 species
AAUAUUAGAAUGAGUACAAAUAUAUUUCAAAUACAUCUUAAUUCAAUCUUAAUUUAAUCCUAGUUAAAAUCCUAUUGCACUUUAUUCAAACUUUAGGCCAAAAACUAAGUAAAUCUUAAAUCCUAAAUAAACUCUAAUAAAAUCCUAAAACCUAAAAUAAAUCCUAACCAAAUCCUAAAUCAAAUCCUAAUCAAAUCCUAAAUUCUAAAUCAAACUCUAAAAAAAUCCUAAACCAAACCCGAAACCCUAAAUCAAAUC